UACGGGAGGCAGCAGUGGGGAAUAUUGCACAAUGGGCGAAAGCCUGAUGCAGCUAUGCCGCGUGUAUGAAGAAGGCCUUAGGGUUGUAAAGUACUUUCAUCGGGGAGGAAAAACAAAACUAAUAAUUUUAUUUCUUGACGUUACCCGAAAAAGAAGCACCGGCUAACUCCGUGCCAGCAGCCGCGGUAAUACGGAGGGUGCUAGCGUUAAUCAGAAUUACUGGGCGUAAAGAGCACGUAGGUGGUUUUUUUAAGUCAGAUGUGAAAUCCCUGGGCUUAACCUAGGAACUGCAUUUUGAAACUGAAAUACUAGAGUAUCGUAGAGGGAGGUAGAAUUCUAGGUGUAGCGGUGAAAUGCGUAGAUAUCUGGAGGAAUACCUGUGGCGAAAGCGGCCUCCUAAACGAAUACUGACACUGAGGUGCGAAAGCGUGGGGAGGCAAACGAGGGAUUAGAUACC
rnacentral:rRNA from 1 species